GACCCGUCUCCGGUAUGAUGAUUCCAUGGUAUUUAUUUUUGAAGUUGCAAGAGGGACUCGGCGAGUUCAUAGCCUGACUCGCCGAGUAGGGACGGGAUUUCGAGCACGUGUUAGCCGGCGACUCGGCGAGUCCAUAUUCUGGACUCGGCGAGUCUGUCUGUCUGAAAGAAACCCUAAAUCCCCGGGUUGCUCACUAUUUAAGCCACCUUAUAGCCCCCAAUCUCGCCUCCUUCACCCUCAGAGAGCUGUGAGAAAACCCUAAUCCAUUUUUGAGUGAUCUAAGUGCUCUUAUGUUAAAUUUUUGAAGGCUUGAAGAAGGAAAAGAAGAAAGGAACAAGGAGAAGAGUUGUAGAGCAAAGAUUCAAGGGCAAACCAGAGUUCUUUGAGCCGGGGAGAUACCGGAGCAGCAGCAGUUAGCUUUCAGAGCCAUUCACACAGCAGCCAGUUCACGAGGUACUUCCGCAAGCAAAGGGAAGAGCUCGGGAUGAUGGCAUUGCACACACCACAGCUUUAGUUUUUAUCCUGGGAGUUGACUCAGUCUUCUUAGUUAUGUUUGAUACAGUUGUGACACAGUUUUCUUGUUACAGUAUCUUAGUGUGGUUUUUGAGAAAUGCAACGCAUGGUUUUAUUAUGAUAUACUCAGUUUUAUGAUUUUUGGUUAUAUUAAAAAUGAAAUU